CGGACGGUGUGCUCCCAGACGGCCUCGGGGUCGAGCAGGGCGGCCUCGCCGAAGUAGGCGCCGUCGGCGAGGACCCCGAGGACCGCGUCGCCGCCGUAGGGGCCGGUGCCGACCUUCUCCACCCGGCCGUGCGCGAGCAGGUACACCGAGUCGGUCGGGGCGCCGGACGGGGCGAUGACCUCGCCCGGCGCGAACUCCCGCUGGUGGCAGCGGGCGGCGAGCUCGGUGAGCACCUCCUCGUCCUCGUAGUCCCUGAGCGCCGGCAGUUCGCCCAGCUCGGCGGGGAUGACCUCGACGCGGUCGCCGGUCUUCACGAAGGUGAUGCGACCGUCGCCGACCGCGUAGGUGAGCCGUCGGUUCACCCGGUACGUGCCGCCCUGCACAUUGACCCACGGCAGGGUGCGCAGCAGCCAGCGCGAGCUGAUCUCCUGCAUCUGGGGUGCCGACUUGGUGGUGGUGGCCAGGUUCCGCGCGGCCGCGGUGCCAAGACUCUGCUG
rnacentral:antisense_RNA from 1 species